rnacentral:rRNA from 1 species
AGAGUUUGAUCAUGGCUCAGGAUGAACGCUAGCUACAGGCUUAACACAUGCAAGUCGAGGGGCAUCAUGGAGUUUGCUUGCAAACUCUGAUGGCGACCGGCGCACGGGUGAGUAACGCGUAUCCAACUUCCCUAUAGUAGAGGAUAGCCCGGCGAAAGUCGGAUUAAUACUCUAUGUUUUCCGUUGCAGACAUCUAAGAUGGAACAAAGGCUUGCCGCUAUAGGGAUGGGGAUGCGUCUGAUUAGGUAGUCGGCGGGGUAACGGCCCACCGAGCCAUCGAUCAGUAGGGGUUCUGAGAGGAAGGUCCCCCACAUUGGAACUGAGACACGGUCCAAACUCCUACGGGAGGCAGCAGUGAGGAAUAUUGGUCAAUGGGCGAGAGCCUGAACCAGCCAAGUUAAGCGUGCAGGACGACGGCCCUAUGGGUUGUAAACUGCUUUUAUGCGGGGAUAAAGUUCACUACGUGUAGUGUUUUGUAGGUACCGCAUGAAUAAGGACCGGCUAAUUCCGUGCCAGCCGCCGC